rnacentral:rRNA from 1 species
GACCGUGCAAAGGUAGCAUAAUCACUUGUUCUCCAAAUAAGGACUUGUAUGAAUGGCCACACGAGGGUUUUACUGUCUCUUACUUCCAAUCAGUGAAAUUGACCUUCCCGUGAAGAGGCGGGAAUAAAAAAAUAAGACGAGAAGACCCUAUGGAGCUUUAAUUAACUAUUCCAAAAGUUAAACAAUUCAACCACAAAGGGAUAAAACAUAACUUAACAUGGACUAGCAAUUUCGGUUGGGGUGACCUCGGAGUACAAAAAACCCUCCGAGUGAUUUUAAUCUAGACAAACCAGUCAAAAUAACCAUAACAUCACUUAUUGAUCCAAAACUUUGAUCAACGGAACAAGUUACCCUAGGGAUAACAGCGCAAUCCUAUUCUAGAGUUCCUAUCGACAAUAGGGUUUACGACCUCGAUGUUGGAUCAGGACACCCAAAUGGUGCAACCGCUAUUAAAGGUUCGUUUGUUCAACGAUUAAAGUCCUA